AGAGUUUGAUCCUGGCUCAGGACGAACGCUGGCGGCGUGCUUAACACAUGCAAGUCGAACGGAAAGGCCCUUCGGGGUACUCGAGUGGCGAACGGGUGAGUAACACGUGGGUGAUCUGCCCUGCACUCUGGGAUAAGCCUGGGAAACUGGGUCUAAUACCGGAUAGGACCACACACUUCAUGGUGAGUGGUGCAAAGCUUUUGCGGUGUGGGAUGAGCCCGCGGCCUAUCAGCUUGUUGGAGGGGUAAUGGCCCACCAAGGCGACGACGGGUAGCCGGCCUGAGAGGGUGACCGGCCACACUGGGACUGAGAUACGGCCCAGACUCCUACGGGAGGCAGCAGUGGGGAAUAUUGCACAAUGGGCGCAAGCCUGAUGCAGCGACGCCGCGUGAGGGAUGACGGCCUUCGGGUUGUAAACCUCUUUCAGUAGGGACGAAGCGAAAGUGACGGUACCUACAGAAGAAGGACCGGCCAACUACGUGCCAGCAGCCGCGGUAGUACGUAGGGUCCGAGCGUUGUCCGGAAUUACUGGGCGUAAAGAGCUCGUAGGUGGUUUGUCGCGUUGUUCGUGAAAACUCACAGCUUAACUGUGGGCGUGCGGGCGAUACGGGCAGACUAGAGUACUGCAGGGGAGACUGGAAUUCCUGGUGUAGCGGUGGAAUGCGCAGAUAUCAGGAGGAACACCGGUGGCGAAGGCGGGUCUCUGGGCAGUAACUGACGCUGAGGAGCGAAAGCGUGGGUAGCGAACAGGAUUAGAUACCCUGGUAGUCC
rnacentral:rRNA from 1 species